AACUUUCUUCGGCGGUUUAGGCGGACAAGGCUUCUUCGUUGGUGGUUUGUAGACUGGCACCGGCGGUGGAAGCUCCACCUUCGGCGGCUUAGGCGGACAUGGCUUCUUCGGUGGCUUGUGUACCGGAACUGGAGGUGGGUGCUCUAUCUUUGGCGGUGGCUUGUAAACCGGAACCGAAGGUGGGUGCUCUAUCUUUGGCGGUGGCUUGUAAACCGGAACCGAAGGUGGGUGCUCUAUCUUUGGCGGUGGCUUGUAAACCGGAACUGGAGGUGGGUGCUCUAUCUUUGGCGGUGGCUUGUAAACCGGAACCGGAGGUGGGUGCUCUAUCUUCGGCGGUUUAGGUGGACAAGGCUUCUUAGGAAUAGGCGGUGGAAGCUCCACCUUUGGUGAUGGCUCGUAAAUCGGGACAGGUGGGGGAACCUCUUUCUUUGGCGGUGGAUCGUAAACCGGAACCGGAG
rnacentral:lncRNA from 1 species